rnacentral:rRNA from 1 species
GAGUUUGAUCAUGGCUCAGGAUGAACGCUGGCGGCGUGCCUAAUACAUGCAAGUCGAGCGGUAAGGCCUCUUCGGAGGUACACGAGCGGCGGACGGCUGAGUAACACGUAGGAACGUACCCCAAACUGAGGGAUAACUGCUCGAAAGAGUAGCUAAUACCGCAUGUGGUCUUCGGAUUAAAGCUUCGGCGGUUUGGGAACGGCCUGCGCAUGAUUAGCUUGUUGGUGAGGUAAUGGCUCACCAAGGCGACGAUCAUUAGCUGGUCUGAGAGGAUGAUCAGCCAGACUGGGACUGAGAACGGCCCAGACUCCUACGGGAGGCAGCAGUAGGGAAUUUUCCACAAUGGACGAAAGUCUGAUGGAGCAACGCCGCGUGCAGGAUGAAUGCCUUCGGUUGU